GGGAUAAGCGUUGGAAACGACGUCUAAUACCGGAUAGGACCUCGGAUCGCAUGAUCUGGGGUGGAAAGUUUUUCGGUCUGGGAUGGACUCGCGGCCUAUCAGCUUGUUGGUGAGGUAAUGGCUCACCAAGGCGUCGACGGGUAGCCGGCCUGAGAGGGUGACCGGCCACACUGGGACUGAGACACGGCCCAGACUCCUACGGGAGGCAGCAGUGGGGAAUAUUGCACAAUGGGCGCAAGCCUGAUGCAGCAACGCCGCGUGCGGGAUGACGGCCUUCGGGUUGUAAACCGCUUUUAGUAGGGAAGAAGGGCUUCGGCUUGACGGUACCUGCAGAAAAAGGACCGGCUAACUACGUGCCAGCAGCCGCGGUAAUACGUAGGGUCCGAGCGUUGUCCGGAAU
rnacentral:rRNA from 1 species